rnacentral:rRNA from 1 species
AGGAUUAACGCUGGCGGCGUGCCUAACACAUGCAAGUCGAACGAGGUAGCAAUACCUAGUGGCAGACGGGUGAGUAACGCGUGGUCAACCUACCGUUGAGUGGGGGAUAACUAGCCGAAAGGUUAGCUAAUACCGCAUACGAGUCUCGGGGGCAUCCCUGGGUCUUAAAAGGAGCAAUCCGCUCGAUGACGGGACCGCGUCCCAUUAGCUAGAUGGUGGGGUAAUGGCCUACCAUGGCUCCGAUGGGUAGCUGGUUUGAGAGAGCGACCAGCCACACUGGGACUGAGAAACGGCCCAGACUCCUACGGGAGGCAGCAGUGAGGAAUUUUCCGCAAUGGGCGAAAGCCUGACGGAGCGACGCCGCGUGUGGGAAGAAGGCCUUCGGGUCGUAAACCACUGUCGAAGGGGACGAUAAUGACGGUACCCUUGGAGGAAGCCCGGCUAACGUACGUGCCAGCAGCCGC